GACGAACGCUGGCGGCGUGCCUAAUACAUGCAAGUCGAACGAGAGCGACCGGUGCUUGCACUGGUCAAUCUAGUGGCGAACGGGUGAGUAACACGUGGGUAACCUGCUCAUCAGAGGGGGAUAACAUCCGGAAACGGAUGCUAAAACCGCAUAGGUCUUCGAGCCGCAUGGCUUGAAGGGGAAAAGAGGCGCAAGCUUCUGCUGAUGGAUGGACCCGCGGUGCAUUAGCUAGUUGGUGAGGUAACGGCUCACCAAGGCCGUGAUGCAUAGCCGACCUGAGGGGGUGAUCGGCGACGUUGGGACUGAGACACGGCCCAAACUCCUACGGGAGGCAGCAGUAGGGAAUCUUCCGCAAUGGACGCAAGUCUGACGGAGCAACGCCGCGUGAGUGAAGAAGGUUUUCGGAUCGUAAAACUCUGUUGUUAGAGAAGAACAAGUGCUAGAGUAACUGUUAGCGCCUUGACGGUAUCUAACCAGAAAGCCACGGCUAACUACGUG
rnacentral:rRNA from 1 species